AACUGGGUGCACCUUACACCUAGCUCUCUCUGCUCAAUGAAUAUUUCAAUAGCCGCAGUACCCUGACUGUGCAAAGGUAGCAUAAUCAGUUGGCUCAUAAUUGGAGUCUUGCAUGAACGAGUUCAUGGGUAAGGCCUGUCUCCAAAGGAUAAGUAGAACUUUUUGAGUAGGUGAAAAUACCUACAAAAUAACUAAAAGACGAGAAGACCCUAGAAAUUUUUCAUUAAGGCGUGUAACAGUGCUCUCAUGUUUUGCUGGGGCGGCAGAGUAACAUGUGUUAACUUACUCUAUGUAUUAGACUUUUGUUUAGAGAAAAACCAUAAUUACUCUAGGGAUAACAGCGUAAUUCUACUGAGUUUGCGACCUCGAUGUUGGACUAGGAAGGAGGAUACUCAGAAGGUGUUUUCCAACGUUCUGUUCGAACGCUGUCUCCUACAUG
rnacentral:rRNA from 1 species